rnacentral:rRNA from 1 species
GACGUAGGAGGCGAGCGUUAUCCGGAUUCACUGGGCGUAAAGCGCAUGUAGGCGGUUGGAUAAGUCCGUUGUUAAAGCCCCUGGCUCAACUGGGGGAGGUCAAUGGAGACUAUUCGACUUGAGGGCAACAGAGGCACAUGGAACUCCCGGUGUAGCGGUGGAAUGCGUAGAGAUCGGGAAGAACACCCGUGGCGAAGGCGGUGUGCUGGGUUGCAACGUGACGCGUGAGAUGCGAAAGUGUGGGGAGGCAAACGGGAUU